rnacentral:misc_RNA from 1 species
GAUGAAGAACCAGUGAAAUGCGAUAAUUAAUGUGAAUUGCAGAAUUCAGUGAAUCAUCGAGUCUUUGAACGCACAUUGCGCCCCCUGGUAUUCCGGGGGGCAUGCCUGUCCGAGCGUCAUUGCUGCCCUCAAGCACGGCUUGUGUGUUGGGCUUCCGUCCCUGGCAACGGGGACGGGCCCAAAAGGCAGUGGCGGCACCAUGUCUGGUCCUCGAGCGUAUGGGGCUUUGUCACCCGCUCCCGUAGGUCCAGCUGGCAGCUAGCCUCGCAACCAAUCUUUUUAACCAGGUUGACCUCGGAUCAGGUAGGGAUACCCGCUGAACUUAAGCAUAUCAAUAAGCGGAGGA